rnacentral:rRNA from 1 species
UAAAGGGCCGCGGUAUAUUGACCGUGCAAAGGUAGCAUAAUCAUUAGUCUUCUAAUUAAAGGCUGGAAUGAAUGGUUGGACGAGGUAUUAGCUGUCUCCUUGAAAUUAUCUAAAAUUUAACUUUUUAGUCAAAAGGCUAAAAUAUAGUUGGAGGACGAGAAGACCCUAUAGAUCUUUAUAUUUAAAUUGUUUAACCAUUUUAGAAGGGUUUAGGUUUAAUGAAUCAAAUAUUUUGUUGGGGUGACAGGAAGAUAAGAAAAACUAUUUUUAUAAAAAGACCAUUGAUGUAUGAAUAAUUGAUCCAUAGUAAUGAUUAAAAGACUAAGUUACCUUAGGGAUAACAGCGUAAUCUUUUUUGAGAGUUCUAAUCGACAAAAAGGGUUGCGACCUCGAUGUUGGACUAAGGGUUAUUCUUGGGUGUAGAAGUUCAAGGUUUAGGUCUGUUCGACCUUUGAAUCCUUACAU